GAAAGAGGGAGCAAACGUUGUUCGGAAUUACUGGGCGUAAAGCGAGUGUAGGCGGACUGAAAAGUAGGGUGUGAAAGCCCCGGGCUCAACCCGGGAAGUGCACUCGAAACUGCCAGGCUAGAGUAUCGGAGAGGUUGGUGGAAAUCUCGGUGUAGGGGUGAAAUUCGUAGAUAUCGAGAGGAGCACCGGUGGCGAAGGCGGCCAACUGGACGAAUACUGACGCUGUGACUCGAAAGCGUGGGGCGCAAACAGG
rnacentral:rRNA from 1 species